UGGGGAAUAUUGCACAAUGGAGGAAACUCUGAUGCAGCAACGCCGCGUGGAGGAUGACGCAUUUCGGUGUGUAAACUCCUUUUAUAAGGGAAGAUAAUGACGGUACCUUAUGAAUAAGCACCGGCUAACUCCGUGCCAGCAGCCGCGGUAAUACGGAGGGUGCAAGCGUUACUCGGAAUCACUGGGCGUAAAGGAUGCGGAGGCUGGAAAUCAAGUCGAAAGUGAAAUCCAACGGCUCAACCGUUGAACUGCUUUCGAAACUGGCUACCUAGAAUAUGGGAGAGGUAGAUGGAAUUAGUGGUGUAGGGGUAAAAUCCGUAGAUAUCACUAGGAAUACCGAUUGCGAAGGCGAUCUACUGGAACAUUAUUGACGCUGAGGCAUGAAAGCGUGGGGAGCAAACA
rnacentral:rRNA from 1 species